CAAAACUCCCUUGAUCAACUCUAUGGGAGAUUAGGUUAACCCAAGCCCAUGUACACCCAUGACUCGACCUAAUCUCACCUAUCCUGGGCCCAGACCUGGCCCAUAAAGAGUUGAUCCCUUGAGGCCCACAUAACCUAGACCUCAAGAACCCGAAAGGCCCACAGCCUUUCAACCUAGGGCCCAACUAGCCCUAGAGCCUCCAUGAAGCCCUCAUGAAUGAUGGACCUUGGUCUUAGCCUUGGUCCCC
rnacentral:lncRNA from 1 species